rnacentral:misc_RNA from 1 species
GAUGAAGAACGCAGCGAAAUGCGAUAAGUAGUGUGAAUUGCAGAAUUCAGUGAAUCAUCGAAUCUUUGAACGCACAUUACGCCCCUUGGUAUUCCAUGGGGCAUGCCUGUUCGAGCGUCAUUUGUACCUUCAAGCUUUGCUUGGUGUUGGGUGUUUGUCUCGCCUUUGCGUGUAGACUCGCCUUAAAAUAAUUGGCAGCCGGCGUAUUGAUUUCGGAGCGCAGUACAUCUCGCGCUUUGCACUCAUAACGACAGCGUCCAAAAGUACAUUUUACACUCUUGACCUCGGAUCAGGUAGGGAUACCCGCUGAACUUAAGCAUAUCAAUAAGCGGAGGA